rnacentral:rRNA from 1 species
CAAAAACAUGUCCUUUUGUUUGUUUAUUUAAGGUCUGGCCUGCCCAAUGAUUAAUUGAAUGGCCGCAGUAUUUUAACUGUGCUAAGGUAGCAUAAUCAUUUGUCUUUUAAUUAAAGGCUGGAAUGAAUGGCUGGACGAGAUAUCAACUUUCUUUAAAUUAAGAAUUGGAAUUUAAUUUUUUAUUUAAAAAGCUAAAAUGUUUUAGUGGGACGAGAAGACCCUAUAGAUCUUGAAUUUAGAUUCAUUUAAGGAAGUUUAGUUUAUUUAUAAAUUUAAGUGAAGUUAAAUUUUGAUUGGGGUGAUUGUAGAAUUUUAUUAACUUCUAUUGGGUAAGUGUCAUGAAUUAGUGAUUUUUUGAUCCAUUAAUAAUGAUUAUAAGAUUAAGAUACCUUAGGGAUAACAGCGUAAUUUUUACGGAUAGUUCGUAUUGAUGUAAGAGUUUGCGACCUCGAUGUUGGAUUAAAAUAAGUAGCGGGUGCAGAAGUUUGCUUACUGGGUCUGUUCGACCCUUAAUUUUUUACAUGAUCUGAGUUC